AAAAUAAGAAAUUCUAUGGUUUCUAGUAAAGUUGAAAAGAUAAGGCAAAAGGAUCCCUGGGUGGCUCAGCAGUUUAACACCUGCCUUUGGCCCAGGGUGUGAUCCUGGAGUCCUGGGAUCAAGUCCCACAUCGGGCUCCCUGCAUGGAGCCUGCUUCUCCCUCUGGCUGUGUCUCUGCCUCUUUCUCUGUCUCUCAUGAAUAAAUAAAUAAAGUCUUUAAAAAAAAAAAAGAUAAGAUAAGGCAAAGCUUCUGGAGAAAUAGCUUAUAAGAACCCCAUCUGAAAUGUCAAAAGGACUGGAAUAUAUGAACAAAUACAUAUUCUCAAGGUAAAAUGGUAACAGGUGGUGGCUCAGCUGGUAGACUGUGUGACUCCUGAUCUUAGGGUUGUGAGUUCCAGCCCCAUGUCAGACGUAGAGAAGAUUACUGAAAAAUAAAAUCUUUUCUAAAAAUUAAAAAAAAAAUUAAAAAUGGCAACAGGGGACAUUGGGACAACUCAGCAAAUUGAGGAGCAAAGUAAUGAAAGUGAUGAUUAUCCCAAUAUAACUACCAUUUAUUGAACAUUGUUAUGCACUAGCAUUGGGUAAGGGCUCUACAUGCUAUGUCUGAUGAGGAAACCGUUGCUCAGAGAUUUCAAGGAGUUCAACCCCAGGUCACACUAAAACCCACAUGGGAGUUGAUAGAUGAUUUCAGUGCAAUUCAAGGUGGGAGGGCAGUCUUAAGAGACGCUGAGAGGCUCAGGAGGUGCUGAGCAUGGGGCAGUUGGAAGGCACACCAAGUCAUGGUAUCCCUCUGCAUCCCCGUGGAGUACCUCAGCAGGUAAGGUAGGAGGAGGAGUCACGUGAGCAGAGGCCGGGAAGUGGGAAACCAUACAGAGUGUGCCAGAGAGCUUCGGACUCCUAGAGCCUUAGAGCACAAAGUGGGAAGCUGGAUGGUGGUGUUGGGGGGGGGCAGACAGACCAGCAGGAGACGCUCCCCAAAGGGACUCCGUGCCACGUUGAAGAAUUCGGAUUUUAUUUAUAAUGGGGAGCCAUUAAAAGAAUGCGGGUAUAGAACCGUUGUGAUGAGAUCUGCAGUUUGGGCGGGUCACUGCGACGGAGGGUCUGGAGGGCAGAUGUCAGGGAGGAAGCCAAGGGGCGAGGAGACCAGCGCAGGAGAGCAAGGGUAGACGGGUGGACACAGAGAAAGAGCUGGGAGUCGGGUUUAGAAGAUGGGUCGAUGUUGGUGAUGGGUCGGAGAUGGCAGUAGAGGGACACAAGUGUGCAGCCUGGGCGCCUGAAUGUGGAGGGUGUCACUGAUCUGUGUGAGGAACACCCCGGGAGAAGUGGGGUUGAGGGACGAGAGGAGAGGAAGGCCCCUUUGGGGUAUAGGCGUUGCAGAUUUCUGGGAGGCGUCCUAGGAAACAGGUCCAGCGGUCUGGCAAAAACCCAGAGAGCCAG
rnacentral:lncRNA from 1 species